GUGGGGAAUAUUGGACAAUGGGCGAAAGCCUGAUCCAGCCAUGCAGCGUGUGUGAAGAAGGUCUUCGGAUUGUAAAGCACUUUAAGUUGGGAGGAAGGGCAUUAACCUAAUACGUUAGUGUUUUGACGUUACCGACAGAAUAAGCACCGGCUAACUUCGUGCCAGCAGCCGCGGUAAUACGAAGGGUGCAAGCGUUAAUCUGAAUUACUGGGCGUAAAGCGCGCGUAGGUGGUUCGUUAAGUUGGAUGUGAAAGCCCCGGGCUCAACCUGGGAACUGCAUCCAAAACUGCAUGACUAGAGUACGGUAGAGGGUAGUGGAAUUUCCUGUGUAGCGGUGAAAUGCGUAGAUAUAGGAAGGAACACCAGUGGCGAAGGCGACUACCUGGACUGAUACUGACACUGAGGUGCGAAAGCGUGGGGAGCAAACAGGAUUAGAUACCCUUGUAGUCC
rnacentral:rRNA from 1 species